rnacentral:rRNA from 1 species
CCUACGGGAGGCAGCAGUGAGGAAUAUUGGUCAAUGGACGAGAGUCUGAACCAGCCAAGUAGCGUGAAGGAUGACUGCCCUAUGGGUUGUAAACUUCUUUUAUAUGGGAAUAAAAUGUUCCACGUGUGGGCUUUUGUAUGUACCAUAUGAAUAAGGAUCGGCUAACUCCGUGCCAGCAGCCGCGGUAAUACGGAGGAUCCGAGCGUUAUCCGGAUUUAUUGGGUUUAAAGGGAGCGUAGGUGGAUUGUUAAGUCAGUUGUGAAAGUUUGCGGCUCAACCGUAAAAUUGCAGUUGAAAAUGGCAGUCUUGAGUACAGUAGAGGUGGGCGGAAUGCGUGGUGUAGCGGUGAAAUGCUUAGAUAUCACGAAGAACUCCGAUUGCGAAGGCAGCUCACUGGACUGCAACUGACACUGAGGCUCGAAAGUGUGGGUAUCAAACAGGAUUAGAUACCCCUGUAGUC